CAGCUACAUGGAUGCCCAAAGAACAGCAGUGUUAAAUGCUAUGGUUUAGAGGGACAUUUCUUGGUCUGAGGGACAAACCUGGUGGGUUUCCUGGUCGUGUCUGUGGGCAGCUGAAGGGCUGAGGAUCCUUGCUGAGGCUGCAAAAACUUGUUCACCCUUGUGAGUAGCUGCAAACAGCUUCUCUGGUGGGGUAGAUUAACUGAAUCAACUACCCAGGUGAAAGAAAAGAGCUUGAAGCAGAGCUAAAAGCCAUAUAUUCACCCGAAAAAGCCAACAGCUUUACUCAGUAAAAAGAAAUUAAAAAUUGGGACUUUGGACACCGAUUCCCCAAAUUCCAGGGAAAGGUGUUCUGGUUCAGCUGGGUGCCUUAGAGGCCAGUGUGUGCUUAGUGCCAUUGCCACAGAGAGGUGCAGCAGAGUGGUGACAGUGAGGAGGAGGAGGAGAAGACCUGAGGUUGGAGAACUUCUGGUGGGGAGUGAUGUGUUCACAAAACAAUUUCCACAAGGAGAAUAAGUUACAGAUGACCAAAAAAUCACGGUGUGACAAGGCCAUGCAGCAGACCCCACAGCUUGAAUUACGGCCCCACAGGAAUCCUACACCUCCUUGGAAAGAGGGGAUUCUGCCUCAGUGGUUUUAUGCUUCCCAAAUGCAGGCUGGCUGAAGAGCCCUGCUGCAAGCAGCUCUGGCCCAGCUGGUGGCCAAGUCCUGUGGUGCCAUUAGGGACCAGCUGCUGGAGGGACUGCCUGCACAAACACGUGUGGGCACAGGCACGACAUACGGGUGUGUGCACACACGAGUGCUCACAUGUGUGUGUGUGUCUGUGUGUUUGUGUGUUUGUGUGUGUAUGUAUGUGUGUGUGUGUUUAUUUGUGUGUUAGUGUUUGUGUGUGUUUGUGUUAGUGUGUGUGUGUGCGCGUGUGUGUUCUUCACCUUUUCACUCAGCACACCUCGACCUUCUGUGCCAAAGUGAAACUCUCCUCUGCAGGAUUUAUGUCAAAGCCACCCAUCUUCAUUACCUGCCAGGGCUCUGGGUCAGACCAAAGGGCUGUGUCCCCCUUCCUCUUUUUUCUUCCCAGUCCCCUCUCAAUCCCGAGGUUUAGGCGCUGCGAUAAACAGAAGGGAGCCAUAAUGAUAACCCAGAGGACACUGUCAGAUCUGCAUUCAUUCCAUGUGUAAGUCUUACUGAAGGAGAAGAUGCUGUUAUUAAACACUGGGAAAGGCUGUCCAGAACUGGCAAAAACCAAGGGAAACCACAAUGGAAACAGAAAGACCAUUAACUUAAACCAGUUUAUGAAAAAUCUAUGUCAGGUUAGGGACAAAUCCAACCCAAAACCUUAGACAUAGCUCAGAAAACUUGUAGGAGUUCAGCUCAUCAUCUCUGAACAUGGUUUUCAAUGAAAAACAUCACUGUCACAGUGUGUCUUGGUGCAGGGAAUCACAACCUUGCAAGCUCCAAAACUGAAGCAUAGACCCGGUUCUCUAGGGCAGAAGCCAGACUUAAGACAGAUUGAUGAAAACAGAUAAAAACCAAUUUACUGAGGGCUUUGAGUUCAAUGACAGCUCAUAAAAGGAUACUUUAAAAAAGGAUAUUUUAAAAGGAAA